CCAUAGCCCGGAUUGCAGCGGCAUCCUUUUUCUGAACAGGCUUUGGAAAAAAGCACUGGCGAAAAAGAUACAGCGGAAAGCCGGAAACAGC
rnacentral:sRNA from 1 species